rnacentral:rRNA from 1 species
AUUGAACGCUGGCGGCAUGCUUUACACAUGCAAGUCGAACGGUAACAGGCCUUCGGGUGCUGACGAGUGGCGAACGGGUGAGUAAUGCAUCGGAACGUACCCAGAGGUGGGGGAUAACGCAGCGAAAGCUGUGCUAAUACCGCAUGUGAUCUGAGGAUGAAAGCGGGGGACCGAGCAGCAAUGUUUGGCCUCGCGCCUUUGGAGCGGCCGAUGUCGGAUUAGCUAGUUGGUGGGGUAAAGGCCUACCAAGGCGACGAUCCGUAGCUGGUCUGAGAGGACGGUCAGCGACACGGGGAGUGAGACACGGCCCAGACUCCUACGGGAGGCAGCAGUGGGGAAUGUUGGACAGUGGGCGGAAGCCUGAUCCAGCAAUGGCGCGUGCGGGAAGAAGGCCUUCGGGUUGUAAACAGGUUUUGGCAGGAACGAAACGGUGUCCGCUAAUACCGGGCGCUAAUGACGGUACCUGCAGAAUAAGCACCGGCUAACUACGUG